rnacentral:lncRNA from 1 species
GUAACAUCGUCAUUAAAAUCCCUCACGGCAAAAUAUAAAUGGGGCGUUCAUAAAUUACCGCUCAUAAAUCCGGGUGAUUCUCCCCCUCCCCCCUACAUAAUUUUUAUCACCAGAUGGCUUCCGUGGGUACCCUUGGAGGAAGGGAAUGGGAGGAAAGGUGAGCAAAAUGUGCUUCACUUUUCCCACAUGCAAGGGAUAGCGUUCCUUUCGGCUUUCUCUAAUAGAGAAGGCUAUGGUUGAGUGAAGGGUUGAAGGCUGCAAGAGGGCAACGACACGCCGUGUGUUUCGGCUUGUUUCGACGGAUUGUUAUAACCAGGUUUUUUUUUUAAUUGUAAUUGAAAAAAGUUAAGAAAUCAGUCCUGAGUUUUAUAAUUCAUUCAGUUGUGCAUAUGUACCUCAACGGAAAGCCAUACGCUUUUUAAAAAAAGAACAACACAAACUGAAGGAAAGAUGAAACAUGGAGUCAUUUCAUGGUAUGAGGGUCCUGGCUCUACGUUCCUUAUUAGCUGGAUGAAAGCUAUUUCUUGAUUGGUUCAAAAUGGAAUGUAGCUUCUUCUUGUCUUGCCACUUCACAUACAAAAGUGCUGUAUGUCUCAAUGUGGGAAAGAAGGAAUCCAAACAGUCCCUUCAGCAAGAAAGUCGACUUUGAAAUCUGUGAAAGAAUUACCUUUACAAAAAGGUACACUGUCCAGAGCCGGGAAACAUACUCAUCUGUUGGGUACAAAAGUUCACCAUGGUCUAAAACAAACAGUUACAGUAGGUAGUAGGAGUUAGACAUUAUUACAAUUUUGUUAUUGAUAGAUUACCUAGGCGAUAAAUCAACUGCAUCAGUGAGUCAAAACUUUUUGUCCUUUGGAAUCUAGUGAUACAGUCAACGCAAAAUUCCUGCUCCACCAGAACGCGUAUAGUGUAUCCAGCGAGAAAAGCCGCAGUGCAGGAUUGUGAUGAUGGCUGCAGCUUUUCUGUAAAAAAAAAAUUAUUCUUUGGACAAGAAACAGUGUUUUUUCCAUCAGAUGCUAUACAUGGAGGUUUUUUUAAUUGCUCGAGUAUCCGAAAAAAUAAAGCUGAUUCGCGUGACAAGAUUGUAUUGCCGUAAAUGGAGUUGUAGGCUAUGCCUGUUUGAAGGAUCUUCUCAAAUGCCUGUGAAACUGCCGUUGCGUACCCCUUAAAGUUUUCUCCAAUCAUCUGGUGAAUGGCACCAAUCAACUGCUCUACAGGAUCACUGGAGAAUCUCCUUAACCCCAUUCUACAACGAGACCAACUUCGUCAUCCUGUGGCCAAUUGGAUAUAUCUACCCAGUCAUCAUGUCGUUCAACGCGCUGGCGUUGCUGAAUCAAAGCUGUUCGUCUACUCGAUGAGUUUGCAGCCAUUACAAUCAACACUUUCGUUGUUGGGGCAGUAGUUAGAGUCGGCAGAAUCUUUGCUGGAGUUGCUGGAUUAGUCCCUAAAUUUAUGAAGGAGGUAGUCGAAAUGGAAAUCAGUGGAUUUAUGGGUGGGAUUAGAUUAUUCCUGAAACCAUCGUUUGAAUCAUCUGAUUCAAACGAUAGGUCUGUACAAAAGGUCUGUAGCGGAACCUGCCGGGUCAUUGAUGACAUGGGAUUUUAGUGAAAGCUGUGUGCGUAUAGGGGAUGCAGGUGGAUUUCGAACUGGGGGAAAUGCUUGGUGGGUCGGAGAACAAGCAAACCGACGGAUCGGUGUGAGUACUUGCCUGGCAUUUGGAGGAUCGUGUGCUGGAAUGGCCACCAAAGGCUGCUGAACUUGACGUUUGCUACUGUCUAAGUUCCAUGUUUGAGCUGCAAUGAAAAAGGUACGUAUGUCAUUUUAUUAUUGUAUGUCAUGAGUUUUAAUAUUGCCUUUUGUCCAUAUUUUCCAUUAGAUAUUGUAACGCUUAAAUAUUAUUGUUAAAUAAAAGAGAAUAACAUUGCA